AUUGAACGCUGGCGGAAUGCUUUACACAUGCAAGUCGAGCGGCAGCGCGGGGCAACCUGGCGGCGAGCGGCGAACGGGUGAGUAAUGCAUCGGAACAUGUCCAGUCGUGGGGGAUAGCCCGCCGAAAGGCGGAUUAAUACCGCAUACGCCCGGGAGGGGAAAGCGGGGGACCUGAAAGGGCCUCGCGCGAUUGGGUUGGCCGAUGUCCGAUUAGCUAGUUGGCGGGGUAAAGGCCCACCAAGGCGAUGAUCGGUAGCUGGUCUGCGAUGAUGAUCAGCCACGCUGGGACUGUAACACGGCCCAGACUCCUACGGGAGGCAGCAAUGGGGAAUUUUGGACAAUGGGGGCAACCCUGAUCCAGCCAUUCCGCGUGAGUGAAGAAGGCCUUCGGGUUGUAAAGCUCUUUUGUCCGGAGCGAAACGGUUGUGGUGAACAGCCACGACUACUGACGGUACCGGAAGAAUAAGCACCGGCUAACUACGUGCCAGCAGCCGCCGUAA
rnacentral:rRNA from 1 species